UUAGGAGGAUAGUAGUGAGGAUCAGUUUUCAAAGUGGGCGAGGGGGAUAGAUUCUACUACAAUUGGUAUGAAGCUAUGGUUGGCUCCGCAGAUUUCCGAGCAUUGGCCAUAGAAGAUGCCUGGGCGAGUGGUGAUGAAGGAUGUUUGGUUAAGUCAUCCAGGGAUAGCGUCAGUUUUUACUCCUAAUGUGGGGACUGUUCAUGAGUGGAGCAUGUUGGCAGCGGUGAUGAUGAUGGGGGAUUCUAUUGGGAUAACGACACGGUGGUCUACUUCCAGGAGUUGGAAGUGGCCUAGUGGGAGGUCUGCUGUGGGGAUUAUGUAUGAGUCGAAUGAGAGGUCCUUGAAGUCUAUGUAUUCGUAGGAUCAGUAUCAUUGGUGUCCGAUGGCUUUUAGGGUCAGGUCGGGUUCAUCGAUUUCGUCUAUUAUAUACAGGAUUUGUAGGGAUGGUAGGGCGAGUAGGAUGAGGACAAUAGCUGGGAAGAUUGUUCAGAUUAGUUCUACUUCUUGGGCAUCGACUGUAUUUGAGGAUAGUUUUUCUAUUAGUAUCAGUGUCAGUAAGUAGAGGACUAGGCUGCAGAUUGUUAGUGCAACCAUGAGGGCGUGGUCGUGGAAUUCAACGAGUUCUUCUAUGAUGGGGGAGGAGGCGUCUUGGAAUCCUAGUUGUGAGUGGUUAGCCAUGUGAGUUUUGGUUGUGUUUAUGGUAAGGAAGAUGGAAGUGGUUAUUAAGAUGUAGAGGUAGAAGGCUAAUAGGGUGAGUUUUGGGUUGUAGAUAAUGAUGAUGGUUAUUCAACCUAGAUGGGAGAUGGAUGAGAAAGCUAGGAUUUUUCAGGUUUGUGUUUGGUUAAGUCCUAUUCAACCACCUAGGGCGGUUGAUGUGAUGGCUAUGGUGGUGAGUAGUAUAGGGUUGAGUGAGUGUGAUGUAAGGAAUAGGAUGGCGGUUGGUGGGAGUUUUAUUACUGUUGACAGUAAUAUGGCUGUGGUGAGAGAUGAGCCUUGGAGUACUUCUGGGAAUCAGAAGUGGAAUGGGGCUAGUCCUAGUUUGAUGGCAAUUGCGGUGGUUAGUAGGAGGCAUGAUGGGGAGUUGGUGAGUUGGGUGAUGUCUCAUUGUCCAGUGGACCAUGCGUUGGUUAUGCUUGAGAAGAGAACUAGUGCUGAGGCGGUUGCUUGUACUAGAAAGUAUUUGAUUGUUGCUUCAAUGGCUCGGGGGUGGUGGGACUUUGAGAUUAGGGGAAUAAUGGCUAGGGUGUUGAUUUCUAGCCCGGUUCAGGCUAUUAUUCAGUGGUUGCUUGAGAUUGUGAUUGUUGUUCCUAGGAGUAAGUUUAGGGUUAAGAUGAGUUUUGCAUGGGGGCUCAU
rnacentral:lncRNA from 1 species